rnacentral:rRNA from 1 species
GACGUAGGGCGCGAGCGUUGUCCGGAUUUAUUGGGCGUAAAGAGCUCGUGGGCGGCUCAUUGCGUCAACCGUGAAAACCAGCAGCUCAACUGUUGGCUUGCGGUUGAUACGGGUGGGCUGGAGUUCGGUAGGGGAGACUGGAAUUCCUGGUGUAGCGGUGAAAUGCGCAGAUAUCAGGAGGAACACCGGUGGCGAAGGCGGGUCUCUGGGCCGAUACUGACGCUGAGGUGCGAAAGCGUGGGGAGCAAACAGG